GAAAGCAGUGUGGAUGUUGGUUUGUGCUUAUAUCCUGCCAAAACACUUGUAAUAGGUCGCAUUAGCAACACUUGACAAGAGAAUCAGACUCCAAAAACAAGGAAAUGUUUAAUCUGCACUGUGAACGUGCCAUGAUAUCCACCUCCCUCUGCUCCCACUCUCCUCUGUCCUCCUGCUCCUUUCUGCUGUAUCUCACCUUCUUUGAUAGAUCUGGUUCACCACAAAUAUCUGAGGACAUCUUGAGAGGACUGAAACAGAAAAGACGAGCUUUUGGAGAAACGAGCGCCCUGCAAACACGUUCAGGCCUCAGAUUAGCAGCAUCUACAUAUCAGGAAAUGUCACAUUUUUUUGUCUGUUGCCUUUGAUUUGGUAUCAUCACAUCUCUGAGUCAGUGUUGUGUUUUUUCUUAACAAUGUACAGUCAUCAGUCAUUUUGUUAUGCACAGCUUUUAAACUUCCCAUUGAUUCAAAUAUUUAAUUAUCCUUUCACACAGCAGCAGCUCAGUGCAUCAGGGCAUGCAGACUUAGUCAAGAUGACCUGCUAAAUUUCAAACAAACAGAAUCAGAAUGAAGAAGAAAUGUGAUUUAAGUGACUUUGGACAUGACAUCUUUGCUGUGCCAGACAAGUUGGUUUGACAAUUUAAGAAACUGAUCAUCAAAGUGAAAAUAUCCAGUGAGCAGCAGUUCUCUGGGAUGUUUCUGGCUACCAUGUCUCCUUGAGGCCUGUGUGGGGCCACUUUAGACAGACCAAACUAACUGGAUAAGCACCUUUCAACACAUUACAGCAAAGGAAAUGUUUUACCUAACCUCACUACUGCAAUGAGUUAUUUAAAAAAUAAUCUAGAUCAGGAUCAUCUGCAAUAGUUAAACACCUUUAGGCUUCAGAUAAAUAACACAAAUGCUUAUUAUGAUUCUCCCCACAGCUGUGUACAAAGCUCAUCCUGGACUUCAGGUGGAACAAAGCUGCCCCUGCCCCCCUGCACAUCAAUGGUCAAAGUGUAGCGCGAGUGGAGUCCUUCAUAUUUCUUGGCUUCCACAUCUCUGCAGACCUCUCCUGGUCAUUCAACACCACGACGCUACUCAAGAAGGCCCAGGAGCGGCUACACUUCCUAAGGGAGCUCAGGAAGCAGCAAUUAAACAUCCAGCCUCUGGUGACCUUCUACAGCUCCACUAUGGAGAACCUGCUGACCUAUGCAGUCACAGUGUGGCAGCUGCACGGAGGCAGACAGGAAGAGACUACAGACUAAAGAGGGUGACAAACACAGAGACUCAUCAGCUGCCCCCCUUGUUUGCCAUCUAUAACUUCCGUUGUCUCAGCAGGGCCAGAAACAUCCUGAAGGACAUUACCCACCCCAGCUACCAUGUUUUUAACUUAUUGCCCUCUGGCAGGUGCUUCAGAUCCAUAUGGGCCAGAACAAACAGACUCAGGGAUAGCUUCUUCCCCAAAGCCAUCACCAUACUCAACUUAAACUUGCACUAAAGUUGUCAGGGCUCUGUGUGCAGGCAGGCGGAGAUGAGGAUCCAAACACAGGACUCACACUGAAUUGCAACUGAAAACCUGAGCUUCAUUGCUGGCAAUGAACAAAAUAUGACCUGAACAAUGACACUGAGCUCAGAAACACACAGGCAAAUCUGAGGGUACGACGCAACACUGAUACAAAGAAACACUGGGCUUAAAUACACUGAGGAAGUCAUCAAGGAAUUAGAAACAGAAGGGGAACACAGCUGGGAGGAAUGAGACCUAACGAGACAGGGGGAGCGAAGCUAGAAACACUGACAUAAGACAUAACGCUUCAAAAUAAAACAGGAAACAAUUCACAAAGACGCAGACUAAGAAACAUGGACUUUACACAGGGAGAACACACGGGCAGAGAAGACUAAGCACAGAACUAAACCUAUACUAAGAACUAAACCCUAAACCAGAAUAAGCUGGAACAUAGAAUAAUAGUAAUAAUCAACACAGGAUAGCUAAAGAAUCAGAACAUAAAUUAUAAUACAGAAGAACCACAAAAACAUAAGGAACUGAAAAUGCUGGAUCAGAAUGACCCAGAACCGUGACAAAAGUAAAAUGCAUUUAAG